GAUGAACGCUGGCGGCGUGCCUAAUACAUGCAAGUCGAGCGAAUGGAUUGAGAGCUUGCUCUUAUGAAGUUAGCGGCGGACGGGUGAGUAACACGUGGGUAACCUGCCCAUAAGACUGGGAUAACUCCGGGAAACCGGGGCUAAUACCGGACAACAUUUUGAACCGCAUGGUUCGAAAUUGAAAGGCGGCUUCGGCUGUCAUUUAUGGAUGGACCCGCGUCGCAUUAGGUAGUUGGUGAGGUAACGGCUCACCAAGGCAACGAUGCGUAGCCGACCUGGGAGGGUGAUCGGCCACACUGGGACUGGGACACGGCCCAGACUCCUACGGGAGGCAGCAGUAGGGAAUCUUCCGCAAUGGACGAAAGUCUGACGGAGCAACGCCGCGUGAGUGAUGAAGGCUUUCGGGUCGUAAAACUCUGUUGUUAGGGAAGAACAAGUGCUAGUUGAAUAAGCUGGCACCUUGACGGUACCUAACCAGAAAGCCACGGCUAACUACGUGCCAGCAGCCGCAGUAA
rnacentral:rRNA from 1 species